AAAGCGGUGCGAAAACUUGUACAUUAAAAUCGACAACGGUUCUAAUUGUGUAUCCCUUCAUUAAUGUGUGUGUGUGAGUGUGUGUCAUUCCAAGAACAUUAUUCAGCUCGGCGGCGAUAUAAACAAAUCGUCGGUAGCUCCUAACCAUCAAAGACACAUGCCGAACACCUAAUCUAGCCUUUGUGUAACCCUAUAUUUUUUCCGGCUCGACAAAACCGUUGACCAUCUAGCCCGAGAUAAUCUUAAUGAUACGUAGAAGGACUUCACGCUUUAUUCAUUAGCCUAAACAUUGGCACUCUAUAAGAAGUAUGGUGAGAUUGCAGUUCCCUUGACAUUUUACUACCAUUGAAGUACGAAGUGCGAACAGUCAGUCAGUCGAUCAAGUGCAACAGGGGUACACACAAUUUUUACAAUGGAGUAUAGACGAGGAAUCAGAAAUAUUACAAUUUUCGUCCCAAUUGAAUGGAUACAAAGGGCUCCCGAGGCCGCUAUUAAGGAUGCUGUAGCCGUAGGGCUACUAAUGUACCGACCUGAGAUUCGUAAUAACCUCACUGUGUAUGCAGAAUUAGUGGGAGUUACAACUAAACUCGUUGUAAGAAAUAACAACGAGUUUUGGUUCCUGCGAUUAAGUGAUGUGAAUGUUUAAUUGGAAAACGAAUUCGUGAUUAUCAUCAUAAUCAUCUUCUCAACGAUCAGAAUGUACUUAUAUUAUAAAAUUUUAAUGUAAUAAAUAUAUAAAAUUAGUAUUCUUGAAGUACUAUUUUAUAUUUCUACUAAAUUAAGCAAACAUAAGCAGCCUGUUCCCAACACCACCUCCUAUAGUAAUCCUUUUCUAUAUAAAUAACGUUACAGUUGUAUUAUACUAUCAUUCCAAGAGUGAUAAUCAAUGAAAAAGGUACGUGCGAGAUAACCUCAAAUGGGGCAAUCACAGGGAGCAGAACGCGAGCGGGCUACAAGAGAAAGAGAGCAGUUUCGAAGAGAUCGGUAUCAUGAGUGGCUGCGUAGUUCAGAUCUCCCAGAUUCUGAAAGGCAUCGUCGCAUCACAUUCGCAAACAAUAAUUCGUUCGAAAACUCAGCGACACGUGGAAAUCCUACUAGAUCGGAUCAGGGUAACACUGCAAGAGGUUCUUCAGGAAACUCAUCCUCCGGUGAGCGUCAGCCUGAGAAUUCAAGGGUAGGAGAAGAAAAUCAAACGAACAAAUAAAAAUUAUUGUUUUUGUGAAUGAGGAUGACUAUGAUGAGUGAAAAUAUAUACCGUUUUAAAUGAAUUUCUCCAUUUUUUGAGUGAUUCUUAGAUUCCACCCACACAAUUCCUAAAAUCUGCCGUAAAAUCCCUGAUACCUGCCGUAAUAUUUCUGAAGUCUGCCGUAAAACCCCUGACGCCUGACGUAAAAUCCCUGACACCUGACGUAAAGCUAGGGCCCCCUGCCGAUGACGUCAGCCGAUGAAGGGGUCGGCGCCGUCGACUACUGCGCGCGCAGCACCCUCUUCAAAAAAAAUUUCGGGCCCGUCGG